AACGCUGGCGGCAUGCCUAACACAUGCAAGUCGAACGAGACCUUCGGGUCUAGUGGCGCACGGGUGCGUAACGCGUGGGAACCUGCCUUUAGGUUCGGAAUAACUCAGAGAAAUUUGAGCUAAUACCGGAUAAUGUCUUCGGACCAAAGAUUUAUCGCCUUUAGAUGGGGCCCGCGUUGGAUUAGCUAGUUGGUGGGGUAAAGGCCUACCAAGGCGACGAUCCAUAGCUGGUCUGAGAGGAUGAUCAGCCACACUGGGACUGAGACACGGCCCAGACUCCUACGGGAGGCAGCAGUGGGGAAUAUUGGACAAUGGGGCGAAAGCCUGAUCCAGCAAUGCCGCGUGAGUGAUGAAGGCCUUAGGGUUGUAAAGCUCUUUUACCCGAGAUGAUAAUGACAGUAUCGGGAGAAUAAGCUCCGGCUAACUCCGUG
rnacentral:rRNA from 1 species